GCCUAACACAUGCAAGUCGAACGGAACUUUUUUAAUUGAUUUCUUCGGAAUGAUUUUGAUUAAGUUUAGUGGCGGACGGGUGAGUAACGCGUGAGUAACCUGCCUCUGAGAGGGGAAUAACAUUCGGAAAAGAAUGCUAAUACCGCAUAACAUAUAUUUAUCGCAUGGUAGAUAUAUCAAAGAUUUAUCGCUCAGAGAUGGACUCGCGUCCGAUUAGUUAGUUGGUGAGGUAACGGCUCACCAAGACUACGAUCGGUAGCCGGACUGAGAGGUUGAACGGCCACAUUGGGACUGAGACACGGCCCAGACCCCUACGGGAGGCAGCAGUGGGGGAUAUUGCGCAAUGGGGGCAACCCUGACGCAGCAACGCCGCGUGAAGGAUGAAGGUCUUCGGAUUGUAAACUUCUUUUAUUAAGGACAAAUAAAGUGACGGUACUUAAUGAAUAAGCUCCGGCUAACUACGUGCCAGCCGCCGCGGUAA
rnacentral:rRNA from 1 species